rnacentral:rRNA from 1 species
UGGGGAAUUUUGGACAAUGGGCGAAAGCCUGAUCCAGCAAUGCCGCGUGUGUGAAGAAGGCCUUCGGGUUGUAAAGCACUUUUGUCCGGAAAGAAAUCCUUGGCUCUAAUACAGUCGGGGGAUGACGGUACCGGAAGAAUAAGCACCGGCUAACUACGUGCCAGCAGCCGCGGUAAUACGUAGGGUGCAAGCGUUAAUCGGAAUUACUGGGCGUAAAGCGUGCGCAGGCGGUUUGCUAAGACCGAUGUGAAAUCCCCGGGCUCAACCUGGGAACUGCAUUGGUGACUGGCAGGCUAGAGUAUGGCAGAGGGGGGUAGAAUUCCACGUGUAGCAGUGAAAUGCGUAGAGAUGUGGAGGAAUACCGAUGGCGAAGGCAGCCCCCUGGGCCAAUACUGACGCUCAUGCACGAAAGCGUGGGGAGCAAACAGGGUUAGAUACCCUGGUAGUCCACGCCCCUAAAACGAUGUCAACUAGUUGUUGGGGAUUCAUUUCCUUAGUAACGUAGCUAACGCGUGAAGUUGACCGCCUGGGGAGUACGGUCGCAAGAUUAAAACUUAAAUGAAUU